rnacentral:rRNA from 1 species
GGGGAAUCUUCCGCAAUGGACGAAAGUCUGACGGAGCAACGCCGCGUGAGUGAUGACGGCCUUCGGGUUGUAAAGCUCUGUUAAUCGGGACGAAAGGCCUUCUUGCGAAUAGCUAGAAGGAUUGACGGUACCGGAAUAGAAAGCCACGGCUAACUACGUGCCAGCAGCCGCGGUAAUACGUAGGUGGCAAGCGUUGUCCGGAAUUAUUGGGCGUAAAGCGCGCGCAGGCGGAUUGGUCAGUCUGUCUUAAAAGUUCGGGGCUUAACCCCGUGAUGGGAUGGAAACUGCCAAUCUAGAGUAUCGGAGAGGAAAGUGGAAUUCCUAGUGUAGCGGUGAAAUGCGUAGAUAUUAGGAAGAACACCAGUGGCGAAGGCGACUUUCUGGACGAAAACUGACGCUGAGGCGUGAAAGCCAGGGGAGCGAACGGGAUUAGAUACCCCGGUAGUCCUGGCCGUAAACGAUGGGUACUAGGUGUAGGAGGUAUCGACCCCUUCUGUGCCGGAGUUAACGCAAUAAGUACCCCGCCUGGGGAGUACGACCGCAAGGUUG